CUGAUCAGCCAUGCCGCGUGUGUGAAGAAGGCCUUAGGGUUGUAAAGCACUUUCAGGGGUGAGGAAGGGUAGCUAGUUAAUACCUAGUUAUCUUGACGUUAGCCCCAGAAGAAGCACCGGCUAACUCUGUGCCAGCAGCCGCGGUAAU
rnacentral:rRNA from 1 species